rnacentral:rRNA from 1 species
UACGUAGGGGGCAAGCGUUGUCCGGAAUCAUUGGGCGUAAAGAGCGCGUAGGCGGUCCGGUAAGUCCGCUCUGAAAGUCCGGGGCUCAACCCCGGGAGGCGGGCGGAUACUGUCGGGCUAGAGUCCGGAAGAGGCGAGUGGAAUUCCUGGUGUAGCGGUGAAAUGCGCAGAUAUCAGGAGGAACACCGGUGGCGAAGGCGGGUCUCUGGGCAACAACUGACGCUGAGGAGCGAAAGCGUGGGGAGCGAACAGG